rnacentral:rRNA from 1 species
GAUGAACGCUGGCGGCGUGCUUAACACAUGCAAGUCGAACGGUGAACACGGAGCUUGCUUCGUGGGAUCAGUGGCGAACGGGUGAGUAACACGUGAGCAACCUGCCCUGGACUCUGGGAUAAGCGCUGGAAACGGCGUCUAAUACUGGAUAUGAGCCUCUAUCGCAUGGUGGGGGUUGGAAAGAUUUUUCGGUCUGGGAUGGGCUCGCGGCCUAUCAGCUUGUUGGUGAGGUAAUGGCUCACCAAGGCGUCGACGGGUAGCCGGCCUGAGAGGGUAAUCGGCCACACUGGGACUGAGACACGGCCCAGACUCCUACGGGAGGCAGCAGUGGGGAAUAUUGCACAAUGGGCGGAAGCCUGAUGCAGCAACGCCGCGUGAGGGAUGACGGCCUUCGGGUUGUAAACCUCUUUUAGCAAGGAAGAAGCGAGAGUGACGGUACUUGCAGAAAAAGCGCCGGCUAACUACGUGCCAGCCGCCGCCGUAACAC